rnacentral:rRNA from 1 species
UACGGAGGGUGCUAGCGUUGUUCGGAAUCACUGGGCGUAAAGGGCGCGCAGGCGGCCCGGCCAGUCGGACGUGAAAGCCCGGGGCUCAACCCCGGAACGGCGUCCGAGACGGCCGGGCUGGAGACCGGGAGAGGAGGGUGGAAUAGCCAGUGUAGAGGUGAAAUUCGUAGAUAUCGGCUGGAACACCGGUGGCGAAAGCGGCUCUCUGGCCCGGGUCUGACGCUGAGGCGCGAAAGCGUGGGGAGCAAACAGG